AUGUUUUACAGAAGAAAUGCCAUGUUAUAAAAGUGGGUUUCUUAGAGAGAGGCUUAUCCAUUGCAUUUUGGUUAUGUUAUUGAUCCCUAUGAUUUCUCCAAAUGUGGGAAACUCAAUUGCAUAAUUUAUGUUAAUGGGUAAUUAUACUUUAGAUUACCCU
rnacentral:snRNA from 1 species